UAAAGUUUGAGUGUCAGAUAAUAAAGAACAUAUUAGAUUUAAUUGUCUCGAACCCAGAGGAUGACAUUUGUCGAGAUGCAAGACAAACACCGAAGGAGAUCCGAAAGCCAAAAGGCACUACUAUCUCUCCUAUAACAUACACA
ensembl:ncRNA Y37E3.28 ncRNA